rfam:marine gamma proteobacterium HTCC2148 scf_1106774214167 genomic scaffold, whole genome shotgun sequence.
CGAUUCCUGGCGUAUGCGCCAGACAGGCAGUCCUCGAGCCGAUAAAUAUACACCCGGGGGUGUCUCGUUGCUGUUGGUGUGCAAGUCCGGCCUGACCGGAAAGCCUUAUGCAGUGCAGGUGCCUCCACCUUGAACCAUCGGGUUCAAGGGCAGCCCUGUCAGCGGUACGGUGGGAAUCUU